UACGAGGGGUGCAAGCGUUGCUCGGAAUUACUGGGCGUAAAGGGUGCGUAGGCGGUUCGUUAAGUCUGUCGUGAAAUCCCCGGGCUCAACCUGGGAAUGGCGAUGGAUACUGGCGAGCUAGAGUGUGUCAGAGGAUGGUGGAAUUCCCGGUGUAGCGGUGAAAUGCGUAGAGAUCGGGAGGAACAUCAGUGGCGAAGGCGGCCAUCUGGGACAACACUGACGCUGAAGCACGAAAGCGUGGGGAGCAAACAGG
rnacentral:rRNA from 1 species